UGGGAAUUUUGGACAAUGGGCGAAAGCCUGAUCCAGCAAUGCCGCGUGUGUGAAGAAGGCCUUCGGGUUGUAAAGCACUUUUGUCCGGAAAGAAAUCCUUGGCUCUAAUACAGUCGGGGGAUGACGGUACCGGAAGAAUAAGCACCGGCUAACUACGUGCCAGCAGCCGCGGUAAUACGUAGGGUGCAAGCGUUAAUCGGAAUUACUGGGCGUAAAGCGUGCGCAGGCGGUUUGCUAAGACCGGUGUGAAAUCCCCGGGCUCAACCUGGGAACUGCAUUGGUGACUGGCAGGCUAGAGUAUGGCAGAGGGGGGUUAGAAUUCCACGUGUAGCAGUGAAAUGCGUAGAGAUGUGGAGGAAUACCGAUGGCGAAGGCAGCCCCCUGGGCCAAUACUGACGCUCAUGCACGAAAGCGUGGGGAGCAAACAGGAUUAGAUACCCUGGUAGUCCACGCCCUAAACGAUGUCAACUAGUUGUUGGGGAUUCAUUUCCUUAGUAACGUAGCUAACGCGUGAAGUUGACCGCCUGGGGAGUACGGUCGCAAGAUUAAAA
rnacentral:rRNA from 1 species